rnacentral:miRNA from 1 species
CCACUAUACUACAACUAA